CAGCAAGGUUUGUUCUCGUGUUGAUGAUCCAGAAGAAAAUAUCCAGGCUGAGAGAUUCUGUCUGCUUCCUCAUGCUGCAGUGGAGGCACAAUGAAAUAUACCUGUAAUCUUUGGACAAGCACAGGCCACUGUUACCACCACAGGAACAGCUUUAAGAGAAGUGUCCAGUUUGCCACAGCCAGUACCACCAUUUGCCGAGAAUGUACCGUCAGAGGCCCCGGAGAGCUGUGCUUCCCUCGAGGAGUGUGGUGUGUUAGUGAUGAACAGGGCUGUUUCACUAGGUUGCUAUAUAAAGGUGGUCGCUUAAGAGAAGAAGACAGAGGUUGUAAUGAGGAUACUUCCCACUGUGGAACUGAAGGCACAGAUCCUAAGACCGGAUAUGAAUACAAAAUCAGCUGUUGUUCUAAACCAAAUUUUUGCAACAGUGACUGAAUAAAGACUGCCAUGAAAAAAAAAUCUGUAUAAUCAAAAAGCCUAGUUAGUAAAGCAAGAAUGUUAAUUGUCUGUUUCAUGAAGCACACAGUCCCAGGCUCAAGGGAUCCAGCAUAAGGUGUCAUCCUAUCUGGCUGUAACUGCCACACAAAGGUUAGAAAUCCUAACCUUGUUGGGUAUACAAAGUGAACUUAAGCAGGCUGUAUUGUGAAAUGUGAAAAUACAUGCAGCAAGACACACAAAAAUAAACUUAUAUCAAAACUACA
rnacentral:lncRNA from 1 species